rnacentral:rRNA from 1 species
AAAGAGUUAAAUAAUUAUAAAAGUUAUUGUUGUAAAAAUAUUUUAAAUAAUUAUUUUGUAAUGAAAUGUUAUUCGUUUUUAAAUAUAUCUAGUUUUUUUAGAAAAAAAUUUAAUUUUAAGUUAAUAUUUAAUAUAAUUUAUUUAAAAAUUAUAUUUAUUUAUUAUUUUUAUAUCUUGGGGGAUAAGCUUUAAGUUAAAUUUUUAUAUUAUAAUUGUUAGAUUUUAUUGAAAAUUAUAUAAUUUAUAUUAUUAAUAAAUUUUAGUUUGUUAUAAAUAAUUUCAUUAAAAAAAAAAUUUAAUAAAAAUUAAUUUUUUAUAAAAAAAUUAUUUAAAAUUAGAAAAAAUUAGAUUUAAUGAUAAAAUUAGUAUAUAAUUUAUUUAUUUAUAUAUUUAAUAUAAUUAAUUUUAUUAAAAUUAUAAAAAAUUAAUUAAAAGGAAUUCGGCAAAUAUUUAUAUUCACUUGUUUAACAAAAACAUGUCUUUUUGAUUUAAUUUAAAGUCUAAUCUGCCCACUGAUUUUUAAAUUAAAUGGCUGCAGUAUAUUGACUGUACAAAGGUAGCAUAAUCAUUAGUCUCUUAAUUGGUGACUUGUAUGAAGGAUUGAAUGAAAUAUAAACUGUCUUUUAAUUGAUUUAUUGAAUUUAAUUUUUUAAUUAAAAAGUUAAAAUUUUUUAAAAAGACGAGAAGACCCUAUAGAGUUUUAUAAUUUAUUUAAUUAUUAUUUAUUUUUAAAUAUUUAAUUAUAAUUAUAUAAAUUAUUUUGUUGGGGUGAUAAAAAAAUUAAAAUAACUUUUUUUAAUGAGAAUCAUUAAUAAGUGAUUAUUUGUUCCAAUUUUAUUGAUUAUAAGAUUAAAUUACCUUAGGGAUAACAGCGUAAUUUUUUUUUUUAGUUCGAAUAAAAAAAAAAGUUUGCGACCUCGAUGUUGGAUUAAGAUAAAAUUUAGGUGUAAAAGUUUAAAAUUUUUG